UACGGAGGGUGCAAGCGUUACUCGGAAUCACUGGGCGUAAAGGGUGCGUAGGCGGGUUAUCAAGUCUCGAGUGAAAUCCAACGGCUUAACCGUUGAACUGCUUGGGAAACUGGUAGCCUAGAGUGAGGGAGAGGCAGAUGGAAUUGGUGGUGUAGGGGUAAAAUCCGUAGAGAUCACCAGGAAUACCCAUUGCGAAGGCGAUCUGCUGGAACUCAACUGACGCUGAGGCACGAAAGCGUGGGGAGCAAACAGGAUUAGAUACCCGUGUAGUCC
rnacentral:rRNA from 1 species